AAACAAAGUCGGGAACAAUAGGGCUUUUCAUUCACAGUCAUUUGUUUCGAGCUUCUGUCAUGUGUCACAUAAUAUUAAUAUAUCUACGUCGUACGUUAUUGGUAUAUACCCAUGAUACAAACCAAAGACGUAUGACGUAGAUAUAUUAAUAUUAUGUGACACAUGACAGAAGCUCGAAACAAAUGACAAUCGAUGAAAGGCCCUAUGGAUAAAAGCUAGAAGGAGAACAAAACUAAAAUUAAAAUAUGAAAGAAUAUGCAAUAAACAUUGUGUAAGUGAAAAGCCAGCCACUUUAAAAAGAUGUUCCAAACCAAAACAUGAGUUACCAAAGCAGGCAAUAAAAAGAAAAGGUGAUCUAGAAUGCAAGAAAAGAGCUGAUGAAAGAAGUAAAUAUAAAGAAAAUAAUGCGGAGACUUCUCUCGACCAUGAACAAACACCAGAUAUUUUAUAUAUGCAGAAAAAGGAAAAACUGCUGGAACUUUAAUUUAAAGGCUUUUGACUAGUGAAGAUUUGGAUAAACAACAGGAGUUACUUUGGGCUAUAGCUACGUGCAAAUUUAUUUUCUUGUGGCUUCCUAUGUUUAUUCUUAUUAACUAUACACUUUGAUAUGUUUUUAGUCGCAUGAAGAUUUUAUAGUUUAUUAUUUUAUGUAUAUUGUUAUAUUUGUGUUGAAUAAACAUUAUUAUUAUUA